rnacentral:rRNA from 1 species
AUACGGAGGAUGCAGGCGUUAUCCGGAUUUAUUGGGUUUAAAGGGUGCGUAGGCGGUUUGCUAAGCGGGAGGUGAAAUGCCGGCGCUCAACGUCGGAAGUGCCUCCCGAACUGGUGGACUUGAAUGACUCUGCCGUGGGAGGAAUGUGUAGUGUAGCGGUGAAAUGCUUAGAGAUUACACAGAACACCGAUUGCGAAGGCAUCUCACGAAGGGUUGAUUGACGCUGAGGCACGAAAGCGUGGGGAUCAAACAGGAUUAGAUACCCUGGUAGUCCACGCAGUAAACGAUGAUGGCUAACCGCUGGGCUUAUCAGUUCAGUGGCCAAGCGAAAGCGAUAAGCCAUCCACCUGGGGAGUACGACCGCAAGGUUGAAACUCAAAUGAAUUGACGGGG